rnacentral:rRNA from 1 species
GACGAACGCUGGCGGCGUGCUUAACACAUGCAAGUCGAACGGAAAGGCCCUGCUUUUGUGGGGUGCUCGAGUGGCGAACGGGUGAGUAACACGUGAGUAACCUGCCCUUGACUCUGGGAUAACUUCAGGAAACUGGGGCUAAUACCGGAUAGGAGCUCCUGCUGCAUGGUGGGGGUUGGAAAGUUUCGGCGGUUGGGGAUGGACUCGCGGCUUAUCAGCUUGUUGGUGGGGUAGUGGCUUACCAAGGCUUUGACGGGUAGCCGGCCUGAGAGGGUGACCGGCCACAUUGGGACUGAGAUACGGCCCAGACUCCUACGGGAGGCAGCAGUGGGGAAUAUUGCACAAUGGGCGGAAGCCUGAUGCAGCAACGCCGCGUGCGGGAUGACGGCCUUCGGGUUGUAAACCGCUUUCGCCUGUGACGGAGCGUGAGUGACGGUAAUGGGUAAAGAAGCACCGGCUAACUACGUG